GCUCACUUCGGUAGCACAUACACUAAAAUUGGGACAGUAUAGACAAGAUUAGUGUGGUCCCUGCGCAAGGAUGAUAUGUAAAUUUAUGAAGUGUCCCUUCAUAAA